CUCAGCUAUAAGGGCUGAGCACAGCUUAAGUACGCAUGAUUCUGGGGCCACUAGCCCUAUGGACAACAGUGAUGCCAGGGAGUACUCAACCAGGGCAGGUUCAGCAUGCUUAGUGUGCUUAUUCAAAACACACUUUCUCUUGAAGGAUAUUUCAUUCUUCAGUAAAACUGAACACGAUUAGUUGUACGUGAAAAAAGGUCACAGCAUAUUUCUGCAGUUAGUUCAUCAAACGACGUUGGAUCUGAACGGAAAUGUGGUCAUUAAAGCUGUUGAGAUUGCUGCUUGCUGUGACUACUCUCAUUUUCAGUAAUGCAGAUAGUCUUGAAAGAAGCAGCCAUUGUUACAUACCACCCACCGUGGAAGGAUGCAGCAUUAUACGGCGAAAGUGGAGCUUCGUGAACGCAACAGGGAAGCUGCGAAUUGAACUUUGUGUGCUCCCAGCACAGCAAUGCAUUCCUAACAAAAGAGGAAUGUGACCGCGUUUGCCAGCCUGUCGCAGGUCCCAAACAACCUCCAAGAGAUUAUUGCGCCUACUGGAUUCAAAAUUUGGAUCAGUGCAGAUUCAAACGCGAAACAUUCUACCCUGACCGAUUUGGACGAAGGCAGAGGGUUCUUCUGUUCAGAUUCUGCGGCCCAUCAAGCUGGAAAUUGUUCGCUUACUACUUCCGCAGUGGCGAAUGCGCAGAAAUUGUGUUGCGAAGCUGAAUACCCAUGACAAAUGUACCGGUGACUCCUUUUCUUUUCGAAUUUCUGUAGGCUUACCGAAACCCAGCAUUUUUUCUUGCUAAAAUAAAAAAAUACGAACAGUCA